GAUGAACGCUGGCGGCGUGCCUAAUACAUGCAAGUCGAGCGAACAGAUAAGGAGCUUGCUCCUUUGACGUUAGCGGCGGACGGGUGAGUAACACGUGGAUAACCUACCUAUAAGACUGGGAUAACUUCGGGAAACCGGAGCUAAUACCGGAUAACAUAUUGAACCGCAUGGUUCAAUAGUGAAAGGCGGCUUUGCUGUCACUUAUAGAUGGAUCCGCGCCGUAUUAGCUAGUUGGUAAGGUAACGGCUUACCAAGGCAACGAUACGUAGCCGACCUGAGAGGGUGAUCGGCCACACUGGAACUGAGACACGGUCCAGACUCCUACGGGAGGCAGCAGUAGGGAAUCUUCCGCAAUGGGCGAAAGCCUGACGGAGCAACGCCGCGUGAGUGAUGAAGGUCUUCGGAUCGUAAAACUCUGUUAUCAGGGAAGAACAAAUGUGUAAGUAACUGUGCACAUCUGGACGGUACCUGAUCAGAAAACCACGGCUAACUACGU
rnacentral:rRNA from 1 species